rnacentral:rRNA from 1 species
AACGAGCGCUGGCGGCAUGCCUAACACAUGCAAGUCGAACGAGACCUUCGGGUCUAGUGGCGCACGGGUGCGUAACGCGUGGGAACCUGCCUUUAGGUUCGGAAUAACUCAGAGAAAUUUGAGCUAAUACCGGAUGAUGUCUUCGGACCAAAGAUUUAUCGCCUUUAGAUGGGCCCGCGUUGGAUUAGCUAGUUGGUGGGGUAAAGGCCUACCAAGGCGACGAUCCAUAGCUGGUCUGAGAGGAUGAUCAGCCACACUGGGACUGAGACACGGCCCAGACUCCUACGGGAAGCAGCAGUGGGGAAUAUUGGACAAUGGGCGAAAGCCUGAUCCAGCAAUGCCGCGUGAGUGAUGAAGGCCUUAGGGUUGUAAAGCUCUUUUACCCGAGAUGAUAAUGACAGUAUCGGGAGAAUAAGCUCCGGCUAACUCCGUG